GGCCUUCCCCUCCUGCGCGCCUCCCUCGAACCCGGGGUUGCCCUCGCCUCCCGCCGAACCCGCCCUGCGCCGGCUCCCAGAGUGACGCGAGCCCCGCCUCCCGCGCGCGCAGGGGGCUACGGGUCCGGCCGCCGCCGCCGGGACGCGUGCAGGGGAUGCGGGCUCCAGCCGCCACCGCCGGGACGCGCGCGCAGGGGGCUGCGGCCUCGACCGCCGAUGCCGUCCCGCGCGCCGCCACCGGGACACGCGCCGGCUGCGGGCUCCGGCCGCCGCCGUGCCCCGCGCCAGCCCUCGUCCUCCCUCCCUUCGCUCUCUCCCUCAGCCCUGAAACCUAGGUCGUCUUCUCCACCUCCGUUUUGGGUCGUCGGAGGCCGCCGGGGUCUGAAUCCACCCUCCCAGUCGCCGGAUCUACGCCCUCCUUGGCCGGAUCUGUCUCGACGCAGAGUCCCUCCAUCUGGGCCCUCCCCUUUCCGGCGGCGCUGGCGCGGCCUUCUGUAUCGGCGCUCGCUCGCGAGGAGGCCCUGACUGGCCGCGCGAUAGGGAGGCGCUGGCCCGCCGGCCGUGGCCUCGGUGCCCGCGCCCGCUCCUCCGCACACCCCGGGUAGGGUUCGAACCCCCUGUCCCGCACUCAUUUUUUCCACCAAAUUUCGGUCUUCCUCCGCGCGACUACCGCGAACUGGCCGUGACCCGCGCCUGCUACGGCCUCCGCCUGCCGCCGCAAACCCGGCAGCCGCCAAGGACGCGUGUCGGGUGCGGCCUCCGCCCGGACGCCGCCGCCGCCCUACAAGCCGGGUGCGGGAGAAAGACGACGCCGCCGCCCAACAGGCCGGGUGCGGGAGAGGAGACGGCGGGCUGGGAUCCGGGACCCAAUCCCCUACGCCUACCAUGAGGAUGACAUUUUUUCCUCAUUUGCUUUCUUAUUUUUCUAUUUCUGGUAUUGGGGAUUCAUAUUUUUCUUGAUUCUGCUUCAUUAUUUCACUCCUAUUGGGGAAUAUUUUUCACAUUCUGCUUCAUGAUUUCACUACUAUUUGAUUUUUGUUAUUUCAUUCUGCUUCAUGAUUAUUCUUGUUUUCACUAUACUAUGAUGAUGAUUUGUAGCUCCGAUAGUGCAGAAUUGACUCUAUGGUACCAUGUAAUGGCUGCCCUUGUAUAUAAUUUUGAUCUAAUGAGACUCUGUUAUCACUCUGGUUUGCACUGUGAUUUGUCUCUCCGAUGGCGUUCUGGAGGCCGGAGAGCGGCCUGAGGACGACGACGUCGGCGUCGAGGUAGACGCCGACCCAACCCGGUGUCGCCGACGCCACUGGGCCCCCGAUCCAGAUCCAGCAAGGAUGGAGGGAAGGAGAAGGCCCCGGCCAAGUCUGGAGGCGGAAGAAGAAGAAGAAGAAGAAAGUGGAGCAAGGGCAAGCAGAAGGAGAAGGUCAACAACGCCAUGCUCUUCGACCAGCCCACCACCUAUGACAAGCUGCUCUCCGAGGUAAUGGAUAUGCUUGGUCCCAGCCUUUGGGAUGGUUCUGAAAAAUUAUUUUGGGAGCAUCAAAAGGGUGGGGAAGGCAAAGCUUGCAUUCUGUCUAAGCCCAAGCAGUAUGACAACAAGAUGCAGGUGCUACUGUAAGUCAUAUUGCAUCAGUUUUGGUUUUUUAGCCACUUGACGUUGUGUUUAGCUCUCUAUACUCACAUUACUUCGUUUGCAGGUUUUGCAUUAUAUUGUUGUAGCAGUUCUAGAGCCUCCUCUUUUCCUGAUAGAAGAUGGUAACAGUGUGCUACUGGAUAAGAAUAUAGCCAAGCAAAGAGCCAGGUUGCUUCUUGCUGUGUGAGUUGCUUGAGAGAGAAGAGAGCAGAAAUGAACUUCUCCAUUAGAAUAGGAAGAGCGGAAAAGGAAAUUUGCUUCUUGCUGUACAAGGGAUGUUGAGGAAGCAAAAGCUGCGGCAUGCUUGGAAGGGAUUCGGCAAAAACAGAAGCUACAGCAUGUAUUGUUUUGUGUACGUUUGAAAUUUACUCGUGGCGUUAGCACGGGCACCUUACUAGUAUGGAGAAGAGGCGCGAUGCUAGUUUUUUUUUCUUUUUUCUUUUACCCUAUGCGAAAAAAUGGAUAAAGGGCGGAGGGGAGGGGCUCUUGAUGAGCCGCAAUAGGGAGAGCCCUCUCCACCUAGCUGGUCCAACCAAAAUAUGUUGCCAGCUUGGCAGCUCAUGCUGUGUCCAAUCUUAUUUUUAAUAUUAUUAAUAUAUGAAAUAAUGUGGGCCCAGUGCUGUCAACCAUAA